rnacentral:pre_miRNA from 1 species
CUUGUACUCCCUUCGUCCAAAAAUACUUGUCAUCAAAAUGAAUAAAAGGGGAUGUAUCUAGAUGUAUUUUAGUUCUAGAUACAUUCCUUUUUGUUCAUUUUGAUGACAAGUUUUUUCGGACGGAGGAAGUACAUG